rnacentral:rRNA from 1 species
UACGUAGGGGGCAAGCGUUGUCCGGAAUCAUUGGGCGUAAAGCGCGCGUAGGCGGCCCGGUAAGUCCGUUGUAAAAGUCAAAGGCUCAACCUUUGAAAGCCGAUGGAUACUGCCGGGCUAGAAUCCGGAAGAGGCGAGUGGAAUUCCUGGUGUAGCGGUGGAAUGCGCAGAUAUCAGGAGGAACACCAACAGCGAAGGCAGCUCGCUGGGACGGUAUUGACGCUAAGGCGCGAAAGCCAGGGGAGCAAACGGGG